GGAAGCCUAUGAGGGUGCCACCCUUGGAUGCCAUGCUAGUGAGGGGCAGUGGUAGGUACCACCCUUGGAUGCCAUGCUAGUGAGGGUCAGUGGUAGGUACCACCCUUGGAUGCCAUGCUAGUAUGGGACAGUGGUAGGUACCACCCUUGAAUGCCAUGCUAGUGAGGGACAGUGGUAGGUACCACCCCUGGAUGCCAUGCUAGUGUGGGACAGUGAUAGGUACCACCCUUGGAUGCCAUGCUAGUGAGGGACAGUGGAAGGUACCACCUUUGAAUGCCAUGCUAGUGAGGGACAGUGGUAGGUACCACCCUUGGAUGCCAGGCUAGUGAGGGGCAGUGGUAGGUACCACCCUUGGAUGCCAUGCUAGUGAGGGUCUG